UACGUAGGGUGCGAGCGUUAAUCGGAAUUACUGGGCGUAAAGCGUGCGCAGGCGGUUUGUUAAGAUAGGCGUGAAAUCCCCGGGCUCAACCUGGGAACUGCGUUUAUGACUGGCAGGCUAGAGUAUGGCAGAGGGGGGUGGAAUUCCACGUGUAGCAGUGAAAUGCGUAGAGAUGUGGAGGAACACCGAUGGCGAAGGCAGCCCCCUGGGCCAAUACUGACGCUCAUGCACGAAAGCGUGGGUAGCAAACAGGAUUAGAUACCCUGGUAGUCCACGCCCUAAACGAUGUCAACUAGGUGUUGGGUGGGUAAAACCAUUUAGUACCGGAGCUAACGCGUGAAGUUGACCGCCUGGGGAGUACGGCCGCAAGGUUAAAACUCAAAGGAAUUGACGGGGACCCGCACAAGCGGUGGAUGAUGUGGAUUAAUUCGAUGCAACGCGAAAAACCUUACCUACCCUUGACAUGUCCGGAAGCCCUUAGAGAUUUGGGUGUGCUCGAAAGAGAGCCGGAACACAGGUGCUGCAUGGCUGUCGUCAGCUCGUGUCGUGAGAUGUUGGGUUAAGUCCCGCAACGAGCGCAACCCUUGUCGUUAAUUGCCAUCAUUUAGUUGGGCACUUUAACGAGACUGCCGGUGACAAACCGGAGGAAGGUGGGGAUGACGUCAAGUCCUCAUGGCCCUUAUGGGUAGGGCUUCACACGUCAUACAAUGGUCGGUACAAAGGGUUGCCAACCCGCGAGGGGGAGCUAAUCCCAGAAAGCCGAUCGUAGUCCGGAUUGCAGGCUGCAACUCGCCUGCAUGAAGUCGGAAUCGCUAGUAAUCGCGGAUCAGCAUGUCACAGUGAAUACGUUCCCGGGUC
rnacentral:rRNA from 1 species